rnacentral:misc_RNA from 1 species
GAUGAAGAACGUAGCGAAAUGCGAUAAGUAAUGUGAAUUGCAGAAUUCAGUGAAUCAUCGAAUCUUUGAACGCGCAUUGCGCCCCUUGGUAUUCCGAGGGGCAUGCCUGUUCGAGCGUCAUUAUAACCCUCAAGCUCAGCUUGGUGUUGGGGCCUGCUGCACUGGCAGCCCUUAAAAUCAGUGGCGGCGCCAUCUGGCUCUAAGCGUAGUAAUUCUUCUCGCUAUGGAGUCCUGGUGGAUGCUUGCCAUCAACCCCCAAUUUUUCUAUGGUUGACCUCGGAUCAGGUAGGGAUACCCGCUGAACUUAAGCAUAUCAAUAAGCGGAGGA